CACUUUUGUCUAUUUUUAUUCUUUUCUAGCUCAUUUAUCCUUAUUCAAUUAGGCUAUUUUUAAUAUAGCCAUUUAUUCCUAAUUCUUAUUAAAUUACCGCUCAAACUAAAUUUCUUCUCCUAAAUCCUUUCUACACGUUUUCUUCUCUUCAUCAAUAUCUCCACUCCCUAAAAUCUCUCCAACCACCAAAUCCAUGAAUAUUUCUAUCAAUUUUGCCUAUAAGAUCCCACAUUCACGUCCUUUUCAAACUCUACUGCAGUUCUUUCUUCAAUUUCACACGAAGUUCUGAAUCGAGAGAGAGCUGUGAUCUCAAUUCCCCCAGUUUUCUAACAAGUUUGAUUCUUCCUAAAGAUAUGGGAGUUGGAUUUCGUUUCUGUUUUGUAAGUGGUGGACGAUGACUGAGAGGGAGAGGGAAGGCGUGAGUUACAGUAGAGAGAAAAGAAGUUUUCGACAGUCAGAGAAGGGAAUACAUAGAUUGAGCGACGACGGACGGGGAGGAUGUUGAGCAGAAUUCAUGGAUUAUUUAUGGCUUGCUUAGUAUCGUUGGAUAUGUCGUGUCUUCAUACUCGGCAUUUUCCGUGUCUUGAACGCUUCCGCAGUGUGUCUUUUCUUUAAAAUUCUUUUAGCAUUGAGGGUCAACCACUUUUAAAUUGUUUACGUUCCAGUCUUUAUUUCCUUAGAGUUGGUACUUUGUUGAAAUGAUAGUACUUUGUUUUUCUAAGUUUUCAGUUAUUAAAAUAUUUUGGACCAA